CCUUAAUCAACUGUACCCUAUAAACUGUGACUCCCUUGUCAGUCACAAAACUGUCUGAGCCUUGAAUAUGUUCAAAUAAAAUGGAGGAGAUGAUGCCAGACCUGCAGAGAUUCUCCAGCAUGUUGCAGUGUUUGUUGAUAAAGGAGCCUUUUGCCAACAAUGCUUUCUGGUCUGCAGCAGGAUAGGUGUUAAGCUUCAAAAAUGUGUGAGCAAUGGACCUACAAUGACAAUGCACUACCGAGACUGAUUGGUUAAAGAGGGCAAUACACAAAAUUCAUAGCAGGUCCAUCGGAAUUUGAAAAAUGGAAGACAGUUUCAUGUUUUAGACACGAUCUUUUUCAGAACUGAAGAAAGGUUUCCACUCUUUGCACUUGACUUUCCUUUCAUGGUGCAGGAUUUAAGGGAAACUUACUUGGUAUUGAAUGACUUCCAACCGAAGCAGCAAUAUUAGCAGGAGCUGACUGACACUGGCUACUGUCAACAACUGAAAGUAGUUGGCUUCAAAUGUGAAAAGGGCAGCAUAUUUGAAGAAUGCUAAUAGACUCAUAGAUGUUUACAGUGCAGAAAGAGGCCGUUCCACCCAUUAUGUUCAUACUGGUCAACAAAAAUCUAACCCCAAUAAUCCCAUUUUCCAGUUCUUGGCCCAUAGCCCUGGAAGCUGUGGCAAUGCAAGUGAAUAUGUAUUGUCUGUUUAUAUGUUCAAUAUAUUAAUUUAUAUAUGUACCAAUAAAUAUUUAUUAAUGCUUAUUUUGUUUAACUUUUUUUAAAAAAUGCAAUAAUUCUAGUCUUGUGUUUCUUUCAAACAAUUGUAACGACACAUCAGCUGAAUUGGACAUCACUGCAGUUAUUCCAAAUGCUUGUUAUUUGAUUCAAAAACGGUGAAGUUGACUUUUCUGGAGGAAAUAGCUUGCCCGGGUUCAAUGGGAAACAAUUUUGCAAAAUGAUUAAGUUGUGUUGGGCAGAGAGGGGGUGAUUCUCGGUACAGCUUUGAUCAUUCUUACCUGAGGCUAUCUGAAGCCUCUCUCCAGUGGCAAGUUUCCUCUGUUUACAGUUAAUUAGUCUGGGUCUGUCUGCAGGGGUAAUGUGGAGAGGGCAAGUGCAGGAUAUCUGUCUAAGGUGGAGAUGCAUAUUUUAUGUUGCAUGCCUUCACAUCCUCAUCUUCCUUUAUUGCAACGAGAGGAUGCAUGAUAUUUCCAUAUGGUGCACAUGGUUAAGAUCAGAUUGCUGUAUUGCAAAAUUAUAUGGCAUUGUGCAAUCAUUUACA